rnacentral:tRNA from 1 species
GGGAUUUCAGACGUGUUGGAGUGCGAUCGGCAGACUGUAAAUCUGUCCUCUUAGAGCUACUCGGUUCGAAUCCGAGAUGUCCCACCA